rnacentral:lncRNA from 1 species
ACAUUCUUUUAGAAUUUUUGAGCAAUAAGUUGCAUUUUUAAAAGAAAUUUCUUAAGAACUCUUAUUUUAGGAAAGUUAUUACUUUUGUAGAGAAAUAUUGUAGAUUUGAGAUUGUGAUUUAGAAAUUAGGAUAACAAGAAUUAUUGAUAGAUGUGCAUUUUUUUAGAAUUUUUGAUUAAUAGGUUCUAUAUUUAAAUAAAUUUUCUAAAAACUGAUAUUUUGGGAAAGUUAUCAAUUUUGUAGAGAAAUAUUGUACAUUUGAAAUUGUGAUUAAGCAAUUGGGAUAAAUAUUUCUGAAACUGCUAUUUUUGGAAAUUUAUCAUUUUUGUAUAGAUUUGAGUUUUUGAUUUAGAAAUUAGGAUAACAAGAAUAUUUGUGGAUAGAUUAAUAUUCUUUAAGAUUUUUUCAUCAAUAUGUUGUAUUUUAAAAUAAUUUUCCUAAAAACUGCUAUUUUUGGAAAAAUUUCAGUUUUUAGAGAAAUUUUAUAGAUUUGAGUUUGUGAUUUAGAAAUUAGGAUAACAAAAAUAUUUGUGGAU